GACCUCCCAGGAUCGCUUCUGGAGAGCUUCCCAUACUCUUCCAGCACUGGACAUGGGAGGGAGAAAAGCUGCAGAACAGUGCCCAUUCCAUCACUGCCUUUGAAAUAGGCUAGUUGAUGGAAGAAAUUCUGCCACAGGG
rnacentral:snoRNA from 1 species